GCGGGGAAAAAAGACCCUGUUGAGCUUGACUCUAGUCCGACUUUCUGAAAUGACUUGAGAGGUGAGUAUAAGUGGAAGCCGAAAGGUAAAGUGAAAUACCACUACUUUUAACAUUAUUUUUCUAAUUUCAUGAAUUGGAAGCGGGGCACUACCCUUCUUUUUUUACCCAAGGCUCGCUCUGCGGGUCGAUCUGGGCAAAAGACAUUUGCAGGUGGAAAGUUUGGUUGUGGUGGUAUAUAUGUUAAAAGAUAACGCAAGUGUCCUAAUAUGAACUCAACAAGAACAGAAAUCUCAUAUGAAACAGAAGGGAAAAAUCUUAUUUGAUUCUGAUUCCAGUACAAAUACAAACCAUGAAGCAUGCCCUAAUGAUCCUUUAGACCUUCAAAAUUCGAAGCUAGAGGUUUUAGAAAAGUUACCACAGGGAUAACUGGCUUGUGGCAGCCAAGCGUUCAUAGUGACGUUGCUUUUUGAUCAUUCGAUGUUGGCUAUUCCUAUUAUUGUGAAGCAGAAUUCACCAAGUGUUGGAUUGUUUACCCACUGUAAGACCCCAUAAAAUACUUAAGCUUAAUUCAGUCCUUUAAGCUUGUCAAGGGGGUCACAAACUUGGAAAAUUCUAGCUAGGUUCCCAGACUUAGCUUAAUUUUGGCCUUC
rnacentral:ncRNA from 1 species